rnacentral:rRNA from 1 species
GAUGAACGCUGGCGGCGUGCCUAAUACAUGCAAGUCGAGCGAACAGACGAGGAGCUUGCUCCUCUGACGUUAGCGGCGGACGGGUGAGUAACACGUGGAUAACCUACCUAUAAGACUGGGAUAACUUCGGGAAACCGGAGCUAAUACCGGAUAAUAUAUUGAACCGCAUGGUUCAAUAGUGAAAGACGGUUUUGCUGUCACUUAUAGAUGGAUCCGCGCCGCAUUAGCUAGUUGGUAAGGUAACGGCUUACCAAGGCAACGAUGCGUAGCCGACCUGAGAGGGUGAGCGGCCGCACUGGAACUGAGACACGGUCCAGACUCCUACGGGAGGCAGCAGUAGGGAAUCUUCCGCAAUGGGCGAAAGCCUGACGGAGCAACGCCGCGUGAGUGAUGAAGGUCUUCGGAUCGUAAAACUCUGUUAUUAGGGAAGAACAAAUGUGUAAGUAACUAUGCACGUCUUGACGGUACCUAAUCAGAAAGCCACGGCUAACUACGUG